rnacentral:rRNA from 1 species
GUUGGUGCCAUUUGCUCUUGAAAGUUAACCAGAUCUAGGCCUGGGAUAUAUUUUGAUGAGAGACCACCUGGGAAUCUCAGAAGCCAUCUACA